rnacentral:rRNA from 1 species
GGUCCCUAUCUGCCGUGGGCGUUGGAUGAUUGAAGGGAGUUGCUCCUAGUACGAGAGGACCGGAGUGAACGAACCUCUGGUGUUCGGGUUGUCACGCCAGUGGCACUGCCCGGUAGCUAAGUUCGGAAUCGAUAACCGCUGAAAGCAUCUAAGCGGGAAGCGAGCCCUGAGAUGAGUCAUCCCUGACCCCUUGAGGGUCCUAAAGGGCCGUUGGAGACCACAACGUUGAUAGGUGGGGUGUGUAAGCGCAGUGAUGUGUUGAGCUAACCCAUACUAAUUACCCGUGAGGCUUAACCAUACAACACCCAAGAAGUGUUCUG